rnacentral:rRNA from 1 species
AACCUCCGCAAUGUGAGAAAUCGCGACGGGGGGAUCCCAAGUGCCAUUCUUAACGGGAUGGCUUUUCAUUAGUGUAAAGAGCUUUUGGAAUAAGGGCUGGGCAAGACCGGUGCCAGCCGCCGCGGUAACACCGGCAGCUCUAGUGGUAGCAGUUUUUAUUGGGCCUAAAGCGUCCGUAGCCGGUUUAAUAAGUCUCUGGUGAAAUCCUGUAGCUUAACUGUGGGAAUUGCUGGAGAUACUAUUAGACUUGAGACCGGGAGAGGUUAGAGGUACUCCCAGGGUAGAGGUGAAAUUCUGUAAUCCUGGGAGGACCGCCUGUUGCGAAGGCGUCUAACUGGAACGGUUCUGACGGUGAGGGACGAAAGUUAGGGGCGCGAACCGGAUUAGAUACCCGGGUAGUCCUAACCGUAAACGAUGCGGACUUGGUGUUGGGUGGCUUUGAGCUGCUCCAGUGCCGAAGGGAAGCUGUUAAGUCCGCCGCCUGGGAAGUACGGUCGCAAGACUAAAACUUAAAGGAAGU